ACAGCAACGAAGUCAUUCAGCCACCCAUGUUCCCGAAGGACAUGUUGUGAAAAGGGGACUGCAGUGGAUGAGGCUUGAAGGGUAACGUUACAGAAUAUUCUAUAAUCAUUAGACAUUGUUUUAAAAAAAAACAUAUUUUAUACGUUCGUGUGGAUAUGUAUGACAUUCAAAAUCGAAAAAUAAUUUGUCGAAAACUGAAAUUUCUAAUUGUGGAUAUAGUGUUACUGAAUAAAAACUCCGGUGUGACACGAGGUAUGUCUCAGUACUAUUCUAGUGUUUAUCGCUAGCCCCCCCCCUUUAUUCCAAUAUAAAUAUAAACCGCACUUGUUUAAUUAUCAUUAUUUUGUUGGUUACUGCUUAUAUUGUGUUUUUGGAUUAACUUUCUCACCCGUGGUUGUUUAAUUAUUAUUUUGUUUAAUGCUAUUUGGGGUUUUUUGGUUAAAGUUCUGAUCCGUGGAGUCCCUAUCAUGCACAGCAGAUGGAGAUAUUUCACGAACGAGAUCAUGUCCUUGACCGGAAGUUACUGUUGUAAGCAACAGCUGCUGUGUUUUCAUAUUGUCUCGUAGUAGCUAACAGUAGAAGCUAUGUUAUUUCUCGAUUCUGACAUCAGGUUGUAUUCAUUUCCCAACGAUUGUUUAAAAUAGCACAGGUCUAGCAACUUCUUACCUGGUUUGCUGUGCUGUUCUUUCAAACUUUUAGAGGUGCCUACUAGCUAGCAACCUAACGUCAAACAAUUAUGUUGCGGGAAGUAAAACAUGUUAAGAUAAAAUCAAAUUGUAUUUGUCACGUGCGGAAUACAACCAUUACCGACUAAAAGGGGAACCCAGACGUGAGCCUACCAGGCUAGCUAAAUGGAGCACCAGCUGUUCUGGAUGACUGUGUGAAAACGCUCUCUGUAGCUGAUGGUGGUGUACUCCUCAGUGCCAUUGGAUGAAUCCCGGAAUAAAUUCCAGUCUGUGCUAGCAAAACAGUCCUGUAGCGUAUCAUCUGACCACUUCCGUUUUGAGUGAGUCACUGGUACCUCCUGCUUUUAGUUUUUGCUUGUAAACAGGAAUCAUGGUAGAAUUAUUGUCAGAUUAGCGAGGGAGAGCUCUGUGUGUGGAGUAAAGGUGGUCUGGGGAUUUUUUCCCUUUUGGUUGCACAUGUGACAUGCUGGUAGAAAUUAGGUAAAACGGAUGUAAAUGUGCCUGCAUUAAAGUCCCCGGCCACUAGGAGCGCCGCUUCUGGAUGAGCAUUUUCUUGUUUGAUUAUGGCCGUAUACAGCUCGUUGAAUGCGGUCUUAGUACCAGCAAGUUGCAGAGAACGACUGCAUUGUUUGUUUAUCUAGCUAUCUAACAACUUGCAAGGCAAGUAUUACCCGGUCACGUUCAUAUUACCCACCUUGAUGCUGCACACUCUCCCACUGUGGUUCCAGCAACAGCUUCUCCAGAACCUUCCAGCCAGUGGAGGGAAGGAGGGAGUAUGAGACCCCAGCUCCUCGCAGGUUCAACCCAAAGCCCACACUCUGGAACACCACUAAACUCCGGAACACCCAGAACACUACACAGCUGCACAGCUCCAGGACACAGAAUACACCUCACACAGCGCAAGGAAACUUCUGGAGGCCCUCUCUAACAACAGCAGCAGCUUGGCAGCCAGAGGUGUGCAGCAGCAGUUUUCUUAGGGUUGCCAUAGCAACACCCACCGAUUGCAACCUGCAAACAGUGCAAUCCAGGUAAGAGGGGGAAAAAAUAUUGUUUGUCAUGUUUUCACGAUUUGAAAACAUAAUUGGCUAUGUGACUAUUUCCUCCUCCCAAACAAAAACAUGCAUUGGUACCAUACCUGAGGCAUUGUGCACUUUAAAAAGAGUUGUAUGAUACUUAUUCUUCAUAAUGUUUAGCCAAUAAAUAUUUGACUUAUUUUUUACAUUGUAAUGUGCCUUCAGAAAGUUUUCACAUCCCUUGACUUUUUAAUUGAUCAAAUAGAUAUGUAUUGUCACUGUCCUACACACAAUACCCCAUAAUGUCAAAGUGGAAUGAUGUUUUUCGAAUUUUAAAAAAAAUUAAUUAAAAAUGAAAAGCUGAAAUGUCUUGAGUCAAUAAGUAUUGAAGCCCUUUGUUCUGGCAAGCCUAAAAGUUUCAUGGACUCUGUGUGCAAUUAUAGUGUUUUAACAUGAUUU